rnacentral:rRNA from 1 species
UACGUAGGCAGCAAACGUUGUUCGGAAUUACUGGGCGUAAAGAGUGUGUAGGCGGUUGGGUAAGUUUGGUGUGAAAUCUCCCGGCUUAACUGGGAGGGUGCGCCGAAAACUGCCUGGCUUGAGUACUGGAGAGGAUAGCGGAAUUCCUGGUGUAGCGGUGAAAUGCGUAGAUAUCAGGAGGAACACCUGCGGUGUAGACGGCUGUCUGGACAGUAACUGACGCUGAGACACGAAAGCGUGGGGAGCAAACAGGAUUAGAUACCCUGGUAGUCCACGCCCUAAACGAUGCAUACUUGGUGUGGGUGAUUCAUUUUAUCCGUGCCGGAGCUAACGCGUUAAGUAUGCCGCCUGGGGAGUACGGUCGCAAGGCUGAA